UACGAAGGGGGCUAGCGUUGCUCGGAAUCACUGGGCGUAAAGGGUGCGUAGGCGGUGAGGUAAGUUGGAUGUGAAAUCCCGGGGCUCAACCCCGGAACUGCAUUCAAUACUGCCUUGCUAGAGUACUGGAGAGGAGAUUGGAAUUCACGGUGUAGCAGUGAAAUUCGUAGAUAUUCGCAAGAACACCAGUGGCGAAGGCGGCUCACUGGCCCGUUACUGACGCUCAGGCGCGACAGCGUGGGGAUCAAACAGG
rnacentral:rRNA from 1 species